rnacentral:rRNA from 1 species
GGUUAAGUGACUAAGCGUACAUGGUGGAUGCCUUGGCAGUCAGAGGCGAUGAAGGACGUACUAACCUGCGAUAAGCUGUGAGAAGUCGGUAAGAGACGCUAUUACUCACAGAUUUCCGAAUGGGGAAACCCACCCGAGAUAACUCGGGUAUCUGUUACUGAAUACAUAGGUAACAGAGGCGAACCGGGAGAACUGAAACAUCUAAGUACCCCGAGGAAAAGAAAUCAACCGAGAUUCCCUCAGUAGCGGCGAGCGAACGGGGAUUAGCCCUUAAGCAUCUUGGAAGUUAGUGGAACGGUCCUGGAAAGGCCGGCGAUACAGGGUGAUAGCCCCGUACACGAAAACAACCUUGAUGUGAAAUCGAGUAGGGCGGGACACGUGACAUCCUGUCUGAAUAUGGGGGGACCAUCCUCCAAGGCUAAAUACUCCUGACUGACCGAUAGUGAACCAGUACCGUGAGGGAAAGGCGAAAAGAACCCCUGUGAGGGGAGUGAAAUAGAACCUGAAACCGUGUACGUACAAGCAGUGGGAGCCCUUCGGGGUGACUGCGUACCUUUUGUAUAAUGGGUCAGCGACUUACAUUUUGUAGCGAGGUUAACCGUAUAGGGGAGCCGUAGGGAAACCGAGUCUUAACUGGGCGUCUAGUUGCAAGGUGUAGACCCGAAACCGGGUGAUCUAGCCAUGGGCAGGUUGAAGGUUGAGUAACAUCAACUGGAGGACCGAACCCACUAACGUUGCAAAGUUAGGGGAUGACCUGUGGCUGGGGGUGAAAGGCCAAUCAAACUCGGAGAUAGCUGGUUCUCCCCGAAAGCUAUUUAGGUAGCGCCUCGGACGAAUACUACUGGGGGUAGAGCACUGUUUGGGCUAGGGGGUCAUCCCGACUUACCAACCCCAUGCAAACUCCGAAUACCAGUAAGUAAUAUCCGGGAGACACACGGCGGGUGCUAACGUCCGUCGUGAAGAGGGAAACAACCCAGACCGCCGGCUAAGGUCCCAAAGUUCUGGUUAAGUGGGAAACGAUGUGGGAAGGCUCAGACAGCUAGGAUGUUGGCUUAGAAGCAGCCAUCAUUUAAAGAAAGCGUAAUAGCUCACUAGUCGAGUCGGCCUGCGCGGAAGAUGUAACGGGGCUCAAACCAGGCACCGAAGCCGCGGAUUCACACUUAUGUGUGAGUGGUAGGGGAGCGUUCUGUAAGUCUGCGAAGGUGUAUCGAGAGGUAUGCUGGAGAUAUCAGAAGUGCGAAUGCUGACGUAAGUAACGAUAAAGGGGGUGAAAAGCCUCCUCGCCGGAAGACCAAGGGUUCCUGUCCAACGUUAAUCGGGGCAGGGUGAGUCGACCCCUAAGGCGAGGCCGAAAGGCGUAGUCGAUGGGAAGCAGGUUAAUAUUCCUGCACGACUUGUAAUUGCGAUGGGGGGACGGAGAAGGCUAGGUGGGCCAGGCGACGGUUGUCCUGGUGAAAGUGCGUAGGUGGUGUUUCUAGGCAAAUCCGGAGACACAACACUGAGACACGAGACGAACACACUACGGUGUGGAAGCCAUUGAUGCCCUGCUUCCAGGAAAAGCCUCUAAGCUUCAGAUUACAAGUCAUCGUACCCCAAACCGACACAGGUGGUCGGGUAGAGAAUACCAAGGCGCUUGAGAGAACUCGGGUGAAGGAACUAGGCAAAAUAGAACCGUAACUUCGGGAGAAGGUUCGCUCUUGACAGUGAAGUCCCUUGCGGAUGGAGCAGUUGGGAGUCGCAGUGACCAGAUGGCUGGGACUGUUUAUCAAAAACACAGCACUCUGCAAACACGAAAGUGGACGUAUAGGGUGUGACACCUGCCCGGUGCCGGAAGGUUAAUUGAUGGGGUUAGCGCAAGCGAAGCUCUUGAUCGAAGCCCCGGUAAACGGCGGCCGUAACUAUAACGGUCCUAAGGUAGCGAAAUUCCUUGUCGGGUAAGUUCCGACCUGCACGAAUGGUGUAACCAUGGCCAUGCUGUCUCCACCCGAGACUCAGUGAAAUCGAAUUCGCCGUGAAGAUGCGGUGUACCCGCGGCUAGACGGAAAGACCCCGUGAACCUUUACUACAGCUUGGCACUGAACAUUGAACCUACAUGUGUAGGAUAGGUGGGAGGCUUUGAAGGCGUGACGCCAGUUGCGCUGGAGCCGUCCUUGAAAUACCACCCUUGUAUGUUUGAUGUUCUAACGCAGGGCCCUGAAUCGGGCUCGCGGACAGUGCCUGGUGGGUAGUUUGACUGGGGCGGUCUCCUCCCAAAGAGUAACGGAGGAGCACGAAGGUUGGCUAAUCCUGGUCGGACAUCAGGAGGUUAGUGCAAUGGCAUAAGCCAGCUUAACUGCGAGACGGACAGGUCGAGCAGGUACGAAAGUAGGUCAUAGUGAUCCGGUGGUUCUGAAUGGAAGGGCCAUCGCUCAACGGAUAAAAGGUACUCCGGGGAUAACAGGCUGAUACCGCCCAAGAGUUCAUAUCGACGGCGGUGUUUGGCACCUCGAUGUCGGCUCAUCACAUCCUGGGGCUGAAGUCGGUCCCAAGGGUAUGGCUGUUCGCCAUUUAAAGUGGUACGCGAGCUGGGUUCAGAACGUCGUGAGACAGUUCGGUCCCUAUCUGCCGUGGGCGUUGGAUGAUUGAAGGGAGUUGCUCCUAGUACGAGAGGACCGGAGUGAACGAACCUCUGGUGUUCGGGUUGUCACGCCAGUGGCACUGCCCGGUAGCUAAGUUCGGAAUCGAUAACCGCUGAAAGCAUCUAAGCGGGAAGCGAGCCCUGAGAUGAGUCAUCCCUGACCCCUUGAGGGUCCUAAAGGGCCGUUGGAGACCACAACGUUGAUAGGUGGGGUGUGUAAGCGC